UACGGAGGGUGCAAGCGUUGCUCGGAAUUACUGGGCGUAAAGCGCGUGUAGGCGGUCUCGUGUGUCUGGCGUGAAAGCCCCGGGCUCACCCCGGGAAGUGCGUUGGAAACUGCGAGACUAGAGUUCCGGAGAGGAAGGUGGAAUUCCAGGUGUAGCGGUGAAAUGCGUAGAUAUCUGGAAGAACACCGGUGGCGAAGGCGGCCUUCUGGUCGGUGACUGACGCUGAGACGCGAAAGCGUGGGGAGCAAACAGG
rnacentral:rRNA from 1 species